rnacentral:misc_RNA from 1 species
UUUAUUGUACAUCACAGUUCGACAAGCCAUCAGAAUGAACUGAUAAAAAAUAAAAUAAGAAAAAGGAAAAUCUAAUGAUUCUCUUAAAAAUACGAGAUUACGCAUCCUGGUUUACGUUAAAUUAAGAGGGUAGACGGUAUCAAAGACAAUCCUUGCAAAUGUAUGGCGAACUUCCUGCAGGCUUCCUAAAGCUAACAUCUCAUAAUUUAUCUUGCUACCUUGUUUUGGGACAAAUCCCUUCUCUGUUCCCUGUCUUAUACAAUCGAAUAUCCUACACGCUUUUAAAUACAGGGGCAAUGGAAUGAAUACCUGCACAUUAGAGACAACAAAUUAGGUCAUUCAAUUCAAUCCCAGUAAGUCUCGCAACAUCUACAUUAUUAAAAAAACCAUACACACUCAAAUAAAAAUAAAAUAAAACAUAGACCAAACUUGUCCAAAGUUCUUCUCAUGUAAACUUUCAAUUAGACAUUAGCGACAAAAAAGCUUUUCACCACUUCCAACAUAAAAGCAUUCUGGUUCAAACAGGGGAAAGAGAGAAAAGUGCUUACUAGAUCUGAAUAUGGAGCUUGAGGAUACUCUGCCAUGGCUUGAGAGACAUAAUACUCAUCAGUCAUCAUACUUAGCACCCGUUUAAUAGAGACUACAAGAUCCAUAACCUCAUCACUCAAUGCCUCUGUAUCCUUGUCCCCAAGUUCUGACAAUUCAUCAAAGCGGACAUCAUGCGGCCUAUUGAUCCUCCUUGCUAUGUUUAGUGCUUCUGACAUAUCACCACCAUUGUGCACGGCAAGACAAAAUAUAGCAACCACCAGAGGAUCCCUUGGUUGGUCAGAUAAUGCUUUAUGGAAUGCUAAGAUUCCAACCCAUAAGCUGCUGUGGCAUGGCCUGUCAGGUGCAAGAAGCUUAUCCAGGUUUGAAAACAGAGACAAAAGCAUAUUGGUUCUCUUGUCACGUCUCCUAAAACCAUGAUGAACAAAAUAUGCUGCCUGAAUGGGCAGAAGUACUUCAAGAAGGCCAAAUUUCCAUAAUAACCUCAAAGAAGCUUCAGCAGAACCAUAUGCUAGCAUGUAGUUCAUUUCCAUCAAAAGCCUUCCCUUAUCAAGUCUCAAAAUUGUGCAAGCAAAAUUUUUAACAAAAUGAGCUGUUUCUCUUGAAAAGCGGAAUCCUAAACGGGCAGCAAUUCUCACUGCACGUAGAAUGCGAGCACAGUCAUCCUGGAAAGAAGUGCUUGCAGGGAUCAUAGUUUUCACUUUAGCCUUUCUAAUAUCUUCUAGACCUCCCAUGUAAUCAUACACUAGUUUUGCAUAUGGAUCAAACAUCAACCCAUUAAUGGUGAAGUCCCUUUGCAAACAAUUCCUCCAACGAACAUAAUCCUUCUCAUCACAGUCAAUGGGACUUUGGACAUCAUAGCUCAAGUCCCCACUGAACUUUCGUCCAGUGGUACUAAAACUUGAAACCUCUACUAUAGUACCCUCAACAUGUACAUGACAUAUAGGGAACCGUUUGCCAACUAUCUCACACCGCGAAAAUGCCCUCGCUACCUCUUUAAGUUCAGCUGACGUUAUUAUGUCGAAGUCCUUUGGUAUUCGCUUUAAGAUAAGAUCCCGGACACAACCUCCAACAAGGUAUACCUCAUAUCCUCUUUGCCUGAGCCCAUUGAGAACCUUUCUCGUAGGCCUUGCUAUCAUGGAAGUACUAAUUCCAAGUUCCUUGGAAUUCAACUUCUUCCACUCCGGUACCUUAUGAUACUUUCUCCCCACUUCUCCUCCUAAAUUGUGUCUCUUUUCAUCGAUGAUGCGCUCUGGCUCAUCUAGCGUCUCAACUGCUGCAACGGAGCCGAAUCGAGGCUUGCGAAUACAGUGAAAGAUAGGAAGGCGGAGAGAGAAAUGCGAUCUACACGCAAAGCCGUUUAGGCCUGAAAUCGUCAUGAAUGAUUUUGGACGGUAGUUCGCCUCCCACCAUGUGAUGAAAUGCUUAAACCCUUCCCGGCUCAUCUAGC